GGGAUAAUAGUAUAGUGGUCAGUACUUCUCGUUGUGGACUUUGCUCUUACAGCGCCGAGAGGACCCAGGUUCGAUUCCUGGUUAUCCCA
rnacentral:tRNA from 1 species